UACGUAGGCAGCGAGCGUUGUUCGGAGUUACUGGGCGUAAAGGGCGCGUAGGCGGCCCUCUAAGUCAGACGUGAAAUCCCUCGGCUCAACCGGGGAACUGCGUCUGAGACUGGAAGGCUUGAAUUCGGGAGAGGGAUGUGGAAUUCCAGGUGUAGCGGUGAAAUGCGUAGAUAUCUGGAGGAACACCGGUGGCGAAGGCGGCAUCCUGGACCGAGAUUGACGCUGAUGCGCGAAAGCCAGGGGAGCAAACGGG
rnacentral:rRNA from 1 species